CCCUUAGAUGUUCUGGGCUGCACGCGCGCUACACUGAAGCGUUCAACGAGUAUUUCACCUUGCCCGGGAGGGUUGGGUAAUCUUUUUAAAACGCUUCGUGAUGGGGAUAGAUUAUUGCAAUUAUUAAUCUUCAACGAGGAAUUCCUAGUAAACGCAAGUCAUCAACUUGCAUUGAUUACGUCCCUGCCCUUUGUACACACCGCCCGUCGCACCUACCGAUUGAAUGGUCCGGUGAAGCCUCCGGAUUGGCGCGCACCUCGGUGCCGCCGAGAAGUUGGCUAAACCUUACCAUUUAGAGGAAGGUGAAGUCGUAACA
rnacentral:rRNA from 1 species